rnacentral:rRNA from 1 species
CGGGGAAACUCGUAUUAAUACCGCAUACGACCUACGGGAGAAAGGGGGCAGUUUACNGCUCUCGCUAUUAGAUGAGCCUAAGUCGGAUUAGCUAGAUGGUGGGGUAAAGGCCUACCAUGGCGACGAUCUGUAGCUGGUCUGAGAGGAUGAUCAGCCACACCGGGACUGAGACACGGCCCGGACUCCUACGGGAGGCAGCAGUGGGGAAUAUUGGACAAUGGGGGAAACCCUGAUCCAGCCAUGCCGCGUGUGUGAAGAAGGCCUUUUGGUUGUAAAGCACUUUAAGCAGUGAAGAAGACUCUUCGGUUAAUACCCGGAGACGAUGACAUUAGCUGCAGAAUAAGCACCGGCUAACUCUGU